rnacentral:rRNA from 1 species
AGGACGAACGCUGGCGGCGUGCUUAACACAUGCAAGUCGAGCGGUAAGGCUCCUUCGGGAGUACACGAGCGGCGAACGGGUGAGUAACACGUGAGCAAUCUGCCCUUCUCAUCGGAAUAAGCGUUGGAAACGACGUCUAAUGCCGAAUACGACCUCCUUUCGCAUGAUCGGAGGUGGAAAGCUCCGGCGGAGAAGGAUGAGCUCGCGGCCUAUCAGCUAGUUGGUGUGGGUAAUGGCCCACCAAGGCGACGACGGGUA